rnacentral:rRNA from 1 species
GAUGAACGCUGGCGGCGUGCUUAACACAUGCAAGUCGAACGAAGCACUUGAAACAGAUUCUUCGGAUGAAGUUUCCUGUGACUGAGUGGCGGACGGGUGAGUAACGCGUGGGUAACCUGCCUCAUACAGGGGGAUAACAGUUAGAAAUGGCUGCCAAUACCGCAUAAGCGCACGGCAUCGCAUGAUGCAGUGUGAAAAACUCCGGUGGUAUGAGAUGGACCCGCGUUGGAUUAGCUAGUUGGCAGGGUAACGGCCUACCAAGGCGACGAUCCAUAGCCGGCCUGAGAGGGUGGACGGCCACAUUGGGACUGAGACACGGCCCAGACUCCUACGGGAGGCAGCAGUGGGGAAUAUUGCACAAUGGGGGAAACCCUGAUGCAGCGACGCCGCGUGAGCGAAGAAGUAUUUCGGUAUGUAAAGCUCUAUCAGCAGGGAAGAAAAUGACGGUACCUGACUAAGAAGCCCCGGCUAACUACGUGCCAGCAGCCGCCGCAG